UCCCUUAUAGCUCAGUUGGUAAAGAAUCUGCCUGCAAUGCAGAAGACCUGGGUUCGAUUCCUGGGUUGGGAA
rnacentral:tRNA from 1 species